AUACGGAGGGGGCUAGCGUUGUUCGGAAUUACUGGGCGUAAAGCGUACGUAGGCGGACUGAUCAGUUGGGGGUGAAAUCCCAGGGCUUAACCCUGGAACUGCCUUCAAUACUGUCAGUCUUGAGUUUGGGAGAGGUGAGUGGAAUUCCUAGUGUAGAGGUGAAAUUCAUAGAUAUUAGGAGGAACACCAGUGGCGAAGGCGACUCACUGGCCCAUUACUGACGCUGAGGUACGAAAGCGUGGGGAGCAAACAGGAUUAGAAACCCCAGUAGUCC
rnacentral:rRNA from 1 species